GCAGGUGGUUCGGUAAGUUGGAUGUGAAAGCUCCUGGCUCAACUGGGAGAGGUCGUUCAAUACUACCGGACUUGAGAGCAGUAGAGGGAGGUGGAAUUCCCGGUGUAGUGGUGAAAUGCGUAGAUAUCGGGAGGAACACCAGUGGCGAAAGCGGCCUCCUGGACUGUUUCUGACACUCAUAUGCGAAAGCUAGGGUAGCAAACGGGAUUAGAGACCCCGGUAGUCCUAGCUGUAAACGAUGUGAACUUGGCGUCGGCGGGUUCAAAGCCGUCGGUGCCGAAGCCAACGCGAUAAGUUCACCGCCUGGGGGCUACGGCCGCAAGGUUA
rnacentral:rRNA from 1 species